rnacentral:lncRNA from 1 species
AGGAGAUAGGCUGUAAAGCUCGCCCUACUGCUCCAGUGCCACACCUGUCUGCUUCCGACCCUGAGGCUCACAGAUUCACCCACUGACACUGUGCACAAGCCCCCAGGUCUGGAAAGCAUCUGAACUUUUUGGAAGGUACUUCCACAGCAUGCUUUGCCACAGUAACACAACUGUGCCAGACAGCCCAAGCAGACAGUGGCUAACCAUGCGGGAGUCAGUCCUCGGCAGUGAUGCCCAGCAAUGCCAGGCCUCCAAGGAAGCCUGCGGUAUCACCAACCAGUCACCAGAAUGACAGGAGCCAAGUCCCCAUCCCUGCUUCAGGGGUGGUGGCCUGAGAAGAUUGUGGGAACGAAGGCUCAAGGUUUAUAUUUGCCCUCCUUCCUGUCACUGGUAGCUACAUAUCUUACCAUGACUUUCCAUGAUCUGAGCUUUGUGCCAGGAUACACUAUUUCUGUGCACUCAUGGAAUUCUUGCCAAGAAUAUACACGUGGGCCAACUGCCCACCAGAAUUAAAAUAUCCAUGUUGGUGAAAAAAAAAAAAAAAAAAAAAA